rnacentral:tRNA from 1 species
GUGGCGGAAUUGGCAGACGCACAGCACUCAAAAUGCUGCGCUUUCGGGCGUAUCGGUUCGACUCCGAUCAGCGGCACCA